UUUUGGCGAAAUUAGAUUUCCCAAAUUCAGCUUGGAAGAUGGAGUUUCGGGCCUCUGAAGUUUGGAACGUUAGAACGCCUAACUCUAUUUUACAGGAUGCUAUCAUUUUGUGAUCAGUAUGGCCCCCUUGUGUAUGUGAUGCAUGUGUGUAACUCAUUCGUGACCUGCGUGUCACGCGUACGGCAACACGACUGGAGCCAUAUGUGUUGUCACCUUAAUGUAUUUAAUGGUCUGCGUACCAA
rnacentral:lncRNA from 1 species